ACGAACGCUGGCGGUAUGCUUAACACAUGCAAGUCGAACGGGCAUAGCAAUAUGUCAGUGGCAAACGGGUGAGUAAUACAGAGGAAUCUACCUAGCAGUAAGGAAUAACUUUGGGAAACCAAAGCUAAUGCCAUAUAUUACCGGGCAACCGGGAAAGAUUUAUCGCUGUUAGAUGAGCCUCUGCCGGAUUAGCUAGUUGGCGGGGUAAAGGCCCACCAAGGCAAUGAUCCGUAGCUGGUCUGAGAGGAUGAUCAGCCACACUGGAACUGAGACACGGUCCAGACUCCUACGGGAGGCAGCAGUGGGGAAUAUUGGACAAUGGGCGCAAGCCUGAUCCAGCAAUACCGCGUGAGUGAUGAAGGUCUUCGGAUUGUAAAGCUCUUUUAGUGGGGAAGAUAAUGACGGUACCCACAGAAAAAGCACCGGCAAACUUCGU
rnacentral:rRNA from 1 species